rnacentral:rRNA from 1 species
CCUACGGGAGGCAGCAGUGGGGGAUAUUGCACAAUGGGGGAGACCCUGAUGCAGCAACGCCGCGUGAGUGAAGAAGUCUUUCGGGAUGUAAAGCUCUAUCGACAGGGAAGAGAAUGACGAUGCCUGACUACGAAUCCCCGACUACCUACGUGCCAGCAGCCGCGGUAAUACGUAGGGGGCGAGCGUUGUCCGGAUUUACUGGGGGUAACGGGAGUGUAGGCGGCAGGUCAAGUCUGAAGUGAAAGCCAGGGGCUUAACCUCGGAACGGCUUUGGAAACUGAGGAGCUAGAGUGCUGGAGAGGCAAGCGGAAUUCCUAGUGUAGCGGUGAAAUGCGUAGAUAUUAGGAGGAACACCAGUGGCGAAGGCGGCUUACUGGACAGCAACUGACGUUGAGGCUCGAAAGCGUGGGGAGCAAACAGGAUUAGAUACCCUUGUAGUC